rnacentral:rRNA from 1 species
UACAGAGGGGGCAAGCGUUAUUCGGAAUCAUUGGGCGUAAAGGGCGCGUAGGUGGCCCGGUCAGUUCGUGGUGAAAGCGCGGGGCUCAACCCUGCGUCGGCCAUGAAUACUGCCGCGGCUGGAGCACUGUAGAGGCAGGGCGGAAUUCCGGGGUGUAGCGGUGGAAUGCGUAGAGAUCCGGAAGAACACCGGUGGCGAAGGCGGCCUGCUGGGCAGUUGCUGGACACUGAGGCGCGACAGCGUGGGGGAGCAAACAGG